AGUACAUAUACCAGUGAAAUAAAUCUUGUGUGGUUAUUUGAAAUCCUUUGUGAACAGAAUGCCUAUUGAAGUGUCAAAAUAUUACGCGAAAGAAUCAAACAAAAUUUCCAACAAACUUGUGCAAUAGCUGGUUAUAUGGAGGAAGUAUAGCCAUCAUAAACAUCUGCAAACUUAUGUCCAAAUGCAAGAAGUUUCGGGAGAAACAUUAUCUGAUGCGAGCGAGUUUUUCCUCUAUAAGCGUAUAGAGAAUUUGCGAAGGAAUAAAAACGUAUGGACGGAGAAAAAUUACUCAGAAUCAUGACUAUCUCAUGAAUAUCUCAAGAGCUGUAAGAAACUACAAGUUAAGUUAUUAGAAAAAGUUACUCAGAAUCAUACGCCAACCAACAUACGAGUAUGUGAAGGUCGAGGUUAUCGGACGCUGUCU